CUUCCUUAUUGAAGUUUAAUUUAUGUCAAUGCUAUCUUAGUUUCAGGUAUAAAACAUAGUGAUACAACAUUUAUAUAUAUAUUUAUUUUCUUUUCUUUUUUUGUCUUUUUAGGCUGUACCUGUGGGAUAUGAAAGUUUCCAGGCUAGGCGUUGAAUCAGAGCUGUAGCUGCCAGCCUACAACAUAGCUACAGCAAUGCAAGGUCCAAACCAUGUCUGUGACCUAUACCACAGCUCUUGGCAAUGCCAGAUCCUUAACCCACUGUGAAAGGCCAGGGAUCAAACCUGCAUCCUAAUGCAUGCUAGUCAGACUCGUUUCUGCUGAGCCAUGACAGGAACGCCAUAUAUAUAUUUUUUUUUUCUCAAAGAAACAAGUUUUUCAGUCUGGGUGGGCCACAUAUUAGCUGUUAGAGCUGUACAGCUCUGCUGUUAUAGUAUAAUAGAAGCCAUAGAUAUUACAUAAAUGAAUGGGUUUGGCUGUGUUCCAAUGACAUUUUAUUUGCAAAAUGAGGAGGCUGGGGCCUGUAGACCUUAGUUUAUCAAUUCCUGGGCUAUGUUGACUUGUGUAACAAACAUUCCCCAAAUCUCAGUGAUCCAAAACAUCAAAGAUUUAUUUCAGUCAUUUCCUUUUUCAUGUUACAUGUUAAUUUUAGAUUUAUCAGAGGGCUUCUACUCAUCUUAGUUACUCAGAGACCCAAGUUAAGUGAACUUGUUACCAUUCAAAUAGAAAAGAAUGCUCUGGUAAUUAAGUGUUUGCUUUAGAAGAGAUACUCAUCAUUUCCAUUCAUUACUCAUUAGCCAGAACUGGAGGAGGAGAGGGAAUGGGAUAGACUGGGAGUUUAGGGUUGGUAGAUGCAAACUAUCACAUUUAGGAUGGAUAUGCAAUGAGGUCCUGCUGUAGAGUAAAGGGAACUACAUCCAAUCUCUUGGGAUAGACUAUGAUGGAAUACAGUGUAAGAAAAAUAAUGUGUGUGUGUGUAUUACUGGGUCACUUUGCUAUACAGCAGAAAUUGGCACUUUAUAAAUCAACUAUUCUUUAAUUUAAAAAUAAAAGACCAGGACUUCCAGUCGUGGCGCAGUGGUUAACGAAUCCGACUAGGAACCAUGAGGUUGCGGGUUCCGUCCCUGCCCUUGCUCAAGUAAUAUGCUAGCCACAAGCCUAAUCAAUAAGCUCUGGGCACUCUUGAAAUAAAAUUGAGCUUGAAAUAUCCUACUAAGAUUACACACCUUCUAGCUUAAAUGGGAUUAAAAGUCUUCCACACCUUUGCCAAUGAAGACCAUCCAUUGUGCCACUGGGACAGCAGCACUUAUUAGCAAAUCUAUCCUGGUACAAACAUCUGUGUAUGUGUGUUCAUCCAUGUAUGUGUGUGCAGGUGUGUGGGGGCAUAUGUGUGUAUGCACAUGUGAAAAGACAUCUGUCUAGGCAUUAGAUUUAAUCUGGGAAUUCGAUACUCCUGCUACAAUCAUACAAACUUCAUGCUAAGCAUGUACAAUAAGUGGAAGAUACUUAUAGAAAAUCUCUUUUGUAUGUGUAAAUGUAAUGCAUAUUUUAUUUUAAGGCAUCAGCUGGAGUGAUAGCUCCAUAAAGAUAUAAUGAUAUUUCCCUUAUUGGGGAAAGUCGAAUAUUUUUGUCCAACUCACAUGAUUUCAAACUUUGAUUCUGCCAGUUAUUAGCUGUGUAAUAUAGGGUAGGUUUUAGAGCUUCUCUAAGCCUCAAUGAUCCAGUCUGUACAACAAGGGAAAUCAUACUUAACCUUAAGUUUUAUAGUGAGCAUUUUGUGAGAUAAUGUUGAUAAACAAAUUGAAAUGAGAGAGUGCUGAAUAAUGAAUGAUAUUAUAAAAAGAUGUGGCCUGGUUCUCAGGAAUACAAUAGUGUACUUGCUGAGAAAUGACAGACACACACGAAGCAUCAAACCAUGGUAAAAGAGAUAAAUAGCCAAUCAGCAGAGCAUGAAAGAAUAUGACUAAUUGCAUAAUAAAUGUUUUAAGAGGUUAUAGAUGGAAGAACAGAGUGAGCAGGAUUAUAGGAGAAGAUAUUCAGAUCAGGGCCAACUUGAACUGGACCUUGAAGGGCAGGGAAGGGCAAGAAAAGGUGAGCAGGUGAUAACAUGCAGUACAGACAGAGAAGACAGUGGAUAGCCCACUUUGGCUGGAAAGCUGGCUCUGGGGCCUUGUGUAUUUGAAGAUAAGCCUAGAAAGGCUGGCUGGGGUGGGCUAAGAAGCCUUUGAAUGUCAAGCUAAUGCAUCAUAUGGACAACUGAAGGAGACUGUCUUUCCAAUUCAUUUUAAUCUGUUCUAAACCCACAUAAUUCAACAGAUCUAGUUAUCCCUUCUGCCUAUUUAUCAUGUUUUCAAAGUUACCUUGUAUAAGAGGGAAACAAGGGGCCAGAGAUAAGCUAUGGGUACAUCACCUCAUGACUGAUGUUUAGCUCUAGUGAUCAUGUUACUGUGUUCAUCUCCCGCAGACCUUAAGCCCAUGGCUCUUUCCUGCUGCAGUGCUCUGGGUGCCAAUCCUUUUGCAUUUUCUGU
rnacentral:lncRNA from 1 species